rnacentral:rRNA from 1 species
CCCUUAGAUGUUCUGGGCUGCACGCGCGCUACACUGAUACUUUCAGCGAGUCCACCACCUUGCCUGGGAGGGUGGGGUAACCUCUGGAAAGUGCAUCGUGAUGGGGAUCGAUUAUUGUAAUUAUUAAUCUUCAACGAGGAAUUCCUAGUAAGCAUGUGUCAUCAGCCCGUGCUGAUUACGUCCCUGCCCUUUGUACACACCGCCCGUCGCUCCUACCGAUUGAGUGUGCUGGUGAAAUGUUCGGAUCGGCCGUUUGUCGCGGUUUCCGCGUCAUGUGGCUGAGAAGUUCAUUAAACCCUCCCACCUAGAGGAAGGAGAAGUCGUAACA